rnacentral:rRNA from 1 species
CAGCCGCCGCGGUAAUACGAAGGGUGCAAGCGUUACUCGGAAUUACUGGGCGUAAAGCGUGUGUAGGUGGUUGUUUAAGUCUGUCGUGAAAGCCCUGGGCUCAACCUGGGAAUUGCGAUGGAUACUGGGCGACUAGAGUGCGGUAGAGGAUAGUGGAAUUUCCGGUGUAGCAGUGAAAUGCGUAGAGAUCGGAAGGAACAUCUGUGGCGAAGGCGACUAUCUGGGCCAACACUGACACUGAGACACGAAAGCGUGGGGAGCAAACAGGAUUAGAUACCCCGGUAGUCCCUGUCUCUUAUCC